GGAAGUGGGGUGCGCGUCCCCCGAGCGGCCGCCAUCUUGCCUCUAACGGCACCACGGUUUUUCUCGUUAUUCGCUUCCAGCACAGAAGAGUGGCUGCAGAUUAAAAGUUUCAACUGAAAACCAAAAAGACCACUGCAAAGCAGAAUAAAGUUUGGAAAAAACAUCCACUGUCAGGAAAAUGGCACUAAAUCCAGCUGGAGAGAAACUCCAUGAAUACAAUCUGUGUGGAAGAGCCAUCAGAAGGAAUGCUAACCUUGUUUGGCCCAAGGGAAGUUACACAGGAGAGAAAUGAAAUGAAUGUAAAGAAUGUGGGAGACUGUCUAGUUGUCUUUGAUCCCUUCAGACCCACGUGUGCUCUCAUGCUGGCAAGAAACCCUGUGCGUGGGAAAGCUUCUGGUCAUCACCCAUCCUUUAUGACACAAAUCCACACUGGAGAGAAACCCUAUGAGUUUAACCAGAGUAGGAGAGGAUACACAAUUGGGAGAAGCCUGUGUAAAUGCAAGGACUGUGGAAAGACUUCAUCAGGAGCAGGAACCUGACCGUGCAUAAGAGAGCGCACACCAGGGAGGGACUAUCUGUGUGAUGUUUGUCGCAAAGUCUUGAGCAGGAAAUUCCAUCCGAUGGCACACAUGAGAA